rnacentral:rRNA from 1 species
AUUGAACGCUGGCGGCAGGCCUAACACCUGCAAGUCGAACGAGUGGCGGAUGGGUGAGUAAUGUCUGGGAAACUGCCUGAUGGAGGGGGAUAACUACUGGAAACGGUAGCUAAUACCGCAUACCCUCGGAUGUGCCCAGAUGGGAUUAGCUAGUGGGUGGGGUAAAGGCUCACCUAGGCGACGAUCCCUAGAUGGUCUGAGAGGAUGACCAGCCAGCCGGGAACGGAGACACGGUCCAGGCGCAUACGGGAGGCAGCAGUGGGGAAUAUUGCGCAAUGGGCGCAAGCCUGAUGCAGCCAUGCCGCGUGUAUGAAGAAGGCCUUCGGGUUGUAAAGUACUUUCAGCGGGGAGGCGUUACCCGCAGAAGAAGCACCGGCUAACUCCGUGCCAGCAGCCGCGGUAAUUC